CACCCAGGGGUUGUCCUAGUGGUAAGGGCGAAUGACUGAAUCUCUUUGGUCAGGGGUUCGAUUCCCCACCGAGUGA
rnacentral:tRNA from 1 species